rnacentral:rRNA from 1 species
UCCUGGCUCAGGAUGAACGCUAGCGGCAGGCUUAACACAUGCAAGUCGAGGGUAUAGUCUUCGGAACUAGAGACCGGCGCACGGGUGCGUAACGCGUAUGCAAUCUACCUUUUGCAGAGGGAUAGCCCAGAGAAAUUUGGAUUAAUACCUCAUAGUAUAGCAGUUUCGCAUGAAACCACUAUUAAAGUCACAACGGCAAAAGAUGAGCAUGCGUCCCAUUAGCUAGUUGGUAAGGUAACGGCUUACCAAGGCUACGAUGGGUAGGGGUCCUGAGAGGGAGGUCCCCCACACUGGUACUGAGACACGGACCAGACUCCUACGGGAGGCAGCAGUGAGGAAUAUUGGACAAUGGGCGCAAGCCUGAUCCAGCCAUGCCGCGUGCAGGAAUAAGGUCCUAUGGAUUGUAAACUGCUUUUAUACAGGAAGAAACACACCCUCGUGAGGGUACUUGACGGUACUGUAUGAAUAAGGACCGGCUAACUCCGUG